rnacentral:lncRNA from 1 species
CCUGGGAAUCUUUUUACCUAGAAAAGGUAAAAAGACAGGGAAAAAAAAAAAAGAAUGGUAUUGUGUGCACAAAAACCUGAACUCUUGAUUCAAUGAACUGGCUCUCCUGGCUGCUCUCAUUUUCUAUUUUAUUGUCCUCCCUGUGGUUGGCAGCCACUGUAACCAUGUGGUGAAGGCAAAAACUCAAAGGUCAAUUUGAUUAUAGAAUAGCAAUUAUUAUUAUAUUUUUAUAUUUCCCCUAUCAAUUUCACUGGGUGAACCUGGAGGCCAGAUGUGGCAAGCUAAUUAACAAAACCCCAAUUUCUGAACUCAGAAUUCAGACCAUGAAUCUAAAAGGAGUGAAAAGUAGACAACCGUCUUUGGAAGGGUAAUCAGCUUUGUGAUGGUUCUGUGUUUAUGGCACAAGAUCAAAGAGCUUGUCUUAAUUUUCCUGUGGCCACUCAGGAAGGAGCGUAAACCUGAGUGUUGGAGUACUGAGGAAGUUCUGCAAGAAGGGCAAGGCCAAGGAGGAGGAAGAGAGAUGGCUCCAGACUGCGAACAGAAGCCAGGGGGCUGGGCUUGGUGCUCCCACUGAAUUCUAGAUGACUCUAGGUACCUCACCUCACCCUUACCAGGCCUCAGGAGGAAAUGAAGGUGUAAUUACAGGAUCUCAACCUCUAAAAAAAUUACAAGAGGUUCAUGUGUGCCAUAUAUUAGAUUCCAGAUAUAACUGAUAUCAUAUGGUAUUUGUCUUUCUCUUUCUGACUUACUUCACUAGUAUGAGAGUCUCUAGUUGCAUCCAUGUUGCUGAAAAUGGCAUUAUUUUAUUCCUUUUUACGGUCCACAUGAACCUUUCCACAGAAAAGAAAAUCAUGGACUUGGAGAAUAAACUUGUGGUUGCCAGUGGGGAGGGGGAGAGAGUGGGAUGGAUUGGGAGCUUGGGGUUAACAGAUGCAGACUACUGCCUUUGGAAUGGAUUAGCAAUGAGAUCUUGCUGUGUAGCCCUGGGAACUAUGUCUAGUUACUUAUGAUGGAGCAUGAUAAUGUGAGAAAAAAGAAUGCAUACAUGUAUGUGUAACUGGGUCACCAUGAUGUACAGUAGGAAAAAAAAUAACGUAUUGGGGAAAUAAAAAAAAAUUACAACAUGUGUAGUCUAACUUAUAGGAAUGUCUUAAAGUCUUAAAUGACUUAAAAUGUCUUAAAGGAAUUACAUUUUCAUCAUUAGUACCAUCUAGAAAAGGUGCACAAUGAAUCCAAAUUAUAAGAAUACAGCAAGAGGACCGGAGUGGAACUAGGGACCUUUCUCAGUGAAAUUCAAUGGUCCAGAAGAUACUAAAGCAUAAAUUUACCUAGAGGGAUUCAGAAGAACUCCCUUAUUCAUGUGGAUAAGAGUAAGGCCUGUGUCUUCCUAAGGUGCCCCUGCUAAUGGGUGUGUCUGGGGAACUCUGGAAUUACAUGUGGGCCAAAAGUCAGCCUUAAGACUCUCAUCUUGAUUAAGCAUUAGAAUCCACUGGAUCCAUUUUCUGGAGCCACUUAUCUGGAGCAAGGAUCUCUCAAUUUUCAUUAUUCCUUUGCUAGUUAAAAAAUCAAGGAGGCAUGACUUUUGACAUUGUCUGUUUAUUACACACCAGGUAUGUACCACUUGUAUUAAUCCAUUAAUAAUUUCUAAAUGUGAGAUAAACUAUAUUUAAUUUUAUAAUAGUUUAUGUAUUACAGUAUUUUUUGCUUCCUAAAAGUACAUGUUUAACAGCAGUAAUGUGAUUCACUAAGCUUCUUUACUUUUUGAAAAUCUUGAGUAAAUGCUUCGUGAUAGUCAUUUUAUGUGAAUGACACUGCAGAAAAGGCUACUUCACAAAGAGAUACAGUCUGAAUGGAGGAAGGACAUCAUUGGCUGCUCUUGCUAAAAUGGUGUUUAUUUUGGAAUCCAUCAAUUAUGCUAUGGUUUUUGUUAAAAAUUUGCUCGUAAAAUUUCUGUCUUCUUAGGGAGUUCCCAUUGUGGCUCAGCAGAAACGAAUCUGACUAGGAACCAUGAGGUUGUGGGUUCCAUCCCUGGCCUCGCUCAGUGGGUUAAGGAUUGGGCAUUGCCGUGAGCUGUGGUGUAGGUCACAGACGUGGCUCAAAUCUGAGAUUUCUGUGGCCCUGGUGUAGGCCAGUGGCUAAAGCUCCAAUUAGACCCCUACCUAGCCAGGGAAUCUUCAUAUGCUGCACAUGCGGCCCUAGAAAAGACAGACAAAGAAAAGAGAAAGCAAAAAAAAUUUUUUUUCUGUCUUCUCACUGUUAACCAGCUUGUACUAUCGGGGCACUCCAGAGAAGGAAAACCAGUAGGAUGUACAUGGAUCUAUAAGAGGAGAUUUAUUACUAGCUCAUGUCAUUGUGGAGGUGACGUGCCCACACUGGGAGGGGAGGAUCUUCUUUACUUGGCCUGCUGAUUCAAGUGCUAAUAACCACUUGCAGAAAAACCCUCACAGACACACUCAGAAAUAAUGUUUUACCAGCUACCUGGGUAUCUCUUAGCCCAAUCAAGUUGACACAUAAAGUUAACUAUCAUCCAACACUUCUUAAAAAUUGAAGAUGUUAUAUUUCUACAUUUCAAAAAAUGGAUUCAAAACUGAUUUUAUCUCUUCAUUUGGAAGAUUAGUAACCAAGUUAGAAAAUUCUGUGUCCAUAAUCUUUUAGUGUACUUUGAGAGUUGUAAAGAAGUGAUACACUUAAAUCAUCUUUGGCAAGAACAUUGCAAAUCGACAAAACAUUGCCAAAUAUCCAGUUUUAAAAUGUUCUUUCCACAGCAUGAAUUCCUUUGAAAAAGCUCUUAUUUUCACUCGUUAUUAAAAUGUCACCAUUACCUUGAAGAGAGAAACUAUUUAUAUAUUCAAAAAUAUUUGCAUGGUACCUUAAUACUGAUAGCUACUUGUCAUCACAUUAGAGUAAGCAAAUCUGAAGUAUGUUUAUUUUUUUCAAAAAGAAGUUAUGUUUGGCAACUCUUUUUAGCAGAAGAUACCUUGUAAACCCACAAUAGAUGUUCCUGGCCCCGCACAUCGUUUUAAUAUUGUAUAUAUGCCAUUGUUUAAUAUAACCCAUACAGCCACUUAACUGGGCGUAUGGAAGGAACAAUAAGGCACAAGGUGGUAGAAACAAGGGAAGGGGGAGUGUCACUGUCAAUGCCUUUGUAGGGGAACGCACUCCUUAGGAGACCUUAUAGGCAAUGAGGACCGAGCGACAAAAGGGCCAAUGUUUAUCGGUACAUCAAAAGGCAAAGCUCAGUUUUUCUUUUCUGUUUUGGCAGAAAAAUGCAAGUAAACAGAAGCUUCCUUAUUUUCUUCCUGUACUCCACUGAUUAUCAUUGGGUACACACAGUUUCCCUCUGGAAACCACUGGUUUCGAGCCAGGUUUCCAUUUUCAGGUGUCUGGCUUUCAGUCUGUGUAGUAAUUUUUAUCUCAAUCUCGUAUCUAUUGCUUCUAGUGUUGUCCGUGGCCUGCCAGCUCUGCAACAGUUACAGAUACAGACUUCUGGAUCCUUCACAGAGCUUUUCAUCUUAGACUGUCUGGAGUCUGUAUAUGGAACAAGCCCCUGCGGGUGCCUCUCUGGCACACCCAUUAAGAUGCACUGUGUUAGCCUAUAAGCUCUGUGAAGAGGGACAUAUCUCUCUAAUUCACUGCAUCCCUAGUACCUGGUACAGGAGGCAAUGAACACUACAGAACUUAACUGUAACGAACAGCAUAAUUCCUCCUCAGUCACCACUUGUUCAUUCACCCAUUCGCUCAUUCGUGCAUUCAUUCAUUACUGUAGGUAUUUGGGUACUAGAAUAUGAAAGAGUCUAAAAGCUUUGCCUUCAUGAAAGUGAUACACUGUUAGAAGAAGACAGAAAAUUUUAAAAGUAAGAAAUAAGUAAGUUAUUUACUAAGACAGAAGGUGAUAAUUGCUAUGGGAUUAGGGGUGGUGGGAAGUGGGGACAGGGCCGUCUGCCAGGUGACUGAGACAGGCCUCCUGAGAGGACAUGAUAUCUGAGGAGGUGAGGGAACCAGCCCAGGGGGUAUUCCUUCCACUUGCCAUAAAUCCUGUUCACCCUUCUUUACAUGGUUCAACCAGGAGAAGAAACUAUAGGUACUACUGGUACACAGCAGGAAGCUCAGGAAAACAUGGGCUGAAUAAAUAAAAAUAGCAUUUGGAGAAAGAAUGUAGAGAAAUGAAACUAAAACUCUUCUUUAAAAUCAGGGAAAAGAACAAGGAAAUAAAGAACUAUUCCAAUUAUUAUGAAGAUACUUAGAAAAUGUCACUAAGGGCACAGGGGAACCUUAUACAGCAAAUGCUAUAGGGGGAAGCCCUCUCAGAGACACACAAGUGUCUGCCUGGGCCCUGGGAGGGAGGGUGGGGGAACUCUGAGUCAUGUGAGCAGUCCAGCCACCACCUUGUAAUAUGCAAACCCAACUCUCAUGUCCCAAUAUGGUAACCAUAAAAUUGUUUG